rnacentral:rRNA from 1 species
UACAGAGACCUCAAGCGUUAUCCGGAUUUAUUGGGCGUAAAGGGUCCGCAGGUGGUUUGGCGCGUCACUGGUUAAAUCUUAGGGCUCAACCCUGAAACCGCCAGUGAUACGGCCAAACUCGAGACUGGGAGAGGCAAGCGGAAUUACCGGUGUAGUAGUAAAAUGCGUUAAUAUCGGUAAGAACACCAAAUGCGAAGGCAGCUUGCUGGAACAGUUCUGACACUCAGGGACGAAAGCGUGGGUAGCGAAAGGG